rnacentral:rRNA from 1 species
ACUCCUACGGGAGGCAGCAGUGGGAAUAUUGCGCAAUGGGCGAAAGCCUGACGCAGCCAUGCCGCGUGUGUGAAGAAGGCCUUAGGGUUGUAAAGCACUUUCAAUUGGGAAGAAAGCUGUUGCCUAAUACGUAACAGCCCUGACAUUACCUUUAGAAGAAGCACCGGCUAACUCCGUGCCAGCAGCCGCGGUAAUACGGAGGGUGCGAGCGUUAAUCGGAAUUACUGGGCGUAAAGCGCGCGUAGGCGGUUUGUUAAGUCGGAUGUGAAAU